GCUGGGUGUGGUGGUGCACACCUGUAAGCCCAGCAACUUGGGAGGCCAAGGUAGGAGGAGUCCAAGAUUAAGGUCAGCCUGGGCAACUCAUUGAGACCCUGUCUCAA
rnacentral:sRNA from 1 species